UGGCUUAGUUGGUAGAGCAUGUGACUCUUAGUCUCAGUUUGUGGGCUCAAGUCCCAC
rnacentral:tRNA from 1 species